CGAAGAUAAAUAAAAGCAACAUGAAGAGGAAAUGGCAGGCCAACAACAAGAAGAAUAUCCCAAAUGAAUCUACUGAUAAAAAAGAGCCAAUUACUCAACCUGCUCCUUAUUUUAUUGUAGUUCAUGGACCUCCCAAGGUUGGGAAUUCCAUGUUGAUUUAGCGUCUAGUAAGGCAUUAUACCAACCAUAAUCUUAAUGAUACUGCAGGGCCCCAUUUCGGUCAUAGCAGGU